UGUCUCAACCUAUUUAUAGAAUUAAUUCAUACCCCAAUCCCUCCUAAACGUUCGUUCUGAAUACCGAUUGCCUCUCUCUCUCUCUCUCUCUCUCUCUAAAUUAUUCAUUUUUCUCAUCCAUUCGAGCGCCAGGCCUGUAAUCUGAGAAUGGCGUCUAAAGAGAAAGGUCGGCCGUUGCCGAAAUUUGGGGACUGGGAUGUAAACAAUCCUGCCUCUGCUGAUGGAUUUACAGUCAUAUUUGCCAAGGCUAGAGAUGAUAAGAAAGCCACGGGUACUGCUGCAACUGCUGCGCCACCAUCACAGACUGUAUCUCAACCAAACGAUUUUUACGAGUAUUCUGAAAAGAAAAAGUGGCUUUGCUGUCUCUAAAAGGUUUGUGCAUAUGUUGGAACUAUGAAUUGGGAAACAAGGCAUCAGACGGAGACAUAGUUAAGUUGGCUGGUUGAGCCAAGGGAAGUGAAAGUUUGUUGAAUUUUAUUACUUUCUACUAAGGUAUAUGUUACCUAGUUCUACAGAUCUCUCUACUUUCCCCAAAUGUGUUUUGGGGAAAUGAUGAUUAUCAUUUUAAUUAAUGAAUCUAGUAUUGAUUAAGCAAAUUAUCUUGUCCAA